rnacentral:rRNA from 1 species
GUACACACCGCCCGUCACACCAUGGGAGUCGGUAACACCCGAAGCCAGUAGCCUAACCGCAGGGAGGGCGCUGUCGAAGGUGGGAUUGAUGACUGGGGUGAAGUCGUAACAAGGUAGC